rnacentral:rRNA from 1 species
AGCGAACGCUGGCGGCAGGCCUAACACAUGCAAGUCGAACGAACUCUUCGGAGUUAGUGGCGGACGGGUGAGUAACACGUGGGAACGUGCCUUUAGGUUCGGAAUAACUCAGGGAAACUUGUGCUAAUACCGAAUGUGCUCUUCGGGGGAAAGAUUUAUCGCCUUUAGAGCGGCCUGCGUCUGAUUAGCUAGUUGGUGAGGUAAAGGCUCACCAAGGCGACGAUCAGUAGCUGGUCUGAGAGGAUGAUCAGCCACAUUGGGACUGAGACACGGCCCAAACUCCUACGGGAGGCAGCAGUGGGGAAUCUUGCGCAAUGGGCGAAAGCCUGACGCAGCCAUGCCGCGUGAAUGAUGAAGGUCUUAGGAUUGUAAAAUUCUUUCACCGGGGACGAUAAUGACGGUACCCGGAGAAGAAGCCCCGGCUAACUUCGUG